rnacentral:sRNA from 1 species
UUCACUUCUACUUCUAA